UUUGUUUGUUUGUUUUUGCAUGUUAGACCAAUAAGUUCAUCAAUUUAAAAACAAGAACAAAUAUUUACAACCAGAAUUUGCAAUUCUGAGUUUGAUGUUGCUGAGGAAGAAUUUUGGUUGUGGUUUUCUCUUCAACAUUUAAGAGGUUACACUGAUCAUAAGUCAUCUGUCAUCUUGCCUGUCUUGAAAAAGAUAGACUGGAGUCAUUUGGCCACUGUUUUGCACUUUACAUUAAUGAUAUUGCUUAUAUUGAUAUAUUUUUUAACUCCAUUAAUGUAUUUUAACAUUAGAUCAAUAUCAGUGUAAAUUGGGAAAUUUGGUAAUUUAUGAUCGUGUAAUUUGCUUUGUUUGUUGGCAAAUCCUUUGAAUCUACUAUUGAACUCAUUGCCAGACAGCAGUAAUGGCAGAAACAGUUUCAGUCUUGGAAAAAGCUACGGAUCUUGCGUUCUACUGCUUGGAAACUGUUAACAAUCCACACAGCCAUAGCGCAGUACAAGACAGCCAAUAGGCAUAAAGUAUUUGUAUUAAUUUGUCAUGCAGAAAGCAAUCCGUACAAAAUUCAGAGUGAGUAAUGACCUUUACUCUGUUAAAAUCCACCGCCAUCUUUUGUAUUUUAUUAAAUCCACAAGGAGAGAACUUGACAAAUACAAGCAGUAACACUUGUUUGUGUAAUGCGUUACAUAUGGCAGUGUUUCCCAACCGGUGUGCUGUGGAAGAUUAUCUGGUUCCACCUAAUUAGUACUCUUAGCCAGCGGUCCCCGAGCCUUUUUUGCGCCAUUCUUUUUACAUGAAAACUGCACUUUAGUAUUUAGCUGGUUAAAUGUACAGCAGCUGUGAUUUAAAUCUCAUACAGACAGUAGAGGCGGCUUUCACCUGGGUGAUGCAGGCUCCGGUGAAGGCCACAAUGACAGCGACCACGUUGACGGAUGAUGUCAGAUGCCUCUUUGGCUACAUCUGUGCCUGCGAUGCCCUGUACACCAUCACAUGACCAUCGUUUGUACCGUCGCCUGUUACCGCGACAACCUGCCUCCGCUCAAAAACUGUGCUGUCAAUGAUUCCUGGAAAGACACGCAAUACGUGAGGACCACUAGAAGCUCUAAAAUGUCUCCUAAAAGCCCGACUGGUCACAGCAGAUGACUGCCCUCCCUGAGGGAGGUUCUGCUGGAGGUUUCCUGUUAAAGGGGAGUUUUCCUUCCCAUUGCCACCAAGUGGCUGCUCAAAGGAGAUGGUGACUGCCAGAGGGAGACCUUCAGGUACAGCCACCACGAGCAUCGUCACACCGAUGAUGAAGAAGUUGACCAGGAACUGCACGUAGAUGGGCACACAAGCGUAGGACCAGACAACACCCUGGAUCCAGAAG